rnacentral:rRNA from 1 species
ACGGGAGGCAGCAGUGGGGAGUAUUGGGCAAUGGGCGCAAGCCUGACCCAGCAACGCCGCGUGAAGGAUGAAGGUCUUCGGAUUGUAAACUUCUUUGAUCAGGGACGAAUAAUGACGGUACCUGAAGAACAAGUCACGGCUAACUAAGUGCCAGCAGCCGCGGUAAUACGUAGGUGACAAGCGUUAUCCGGAUUUACUGGGUGUAAAGGGCGUGUAGGCGGUUUGGCAAGUCAGAAGUGAAAUUCCCGGGCUUAACUUGGGCGCUGCUUCUGAAACUGCUUAACUUGAGUACUGGAGAGGAUAGUGAAAUUCCUAGUGUAGCGGUAAAAUGCACAGAUAUUAGGAGGAACACCGGUGGCGAAGGCGGCUUACUGGGCCUUUACUGACGCUGAGGCACGUAAGCGUGGGGAGCAAACAGGAUUAGAUACCCUGGUA